AAAUAAUAAAAAAUUUAAAACAGAUGAGAAAGUGCCUAAAGCCAAAAAGAGGAAAACAAUUUACAAGUCUCAAAAUGAAGAAAGACUAAGACUUGCAACUCUCUAAAAAUUGGGAAGCUACAACUAAUUGACAGUCCUGAACGUUGGGACCAACAUAGGCAGAGUGAUUAUAUUUUCUGUAGCCUCCGCAAAUUAGGUUUGUUGAAAAUGAACAAAACGUUUUUAGACCCACAAAAACAAGUAUAUAUAUCUUUCUAUCUGUUCAUAAGAUGGAAUUUUGUGUUUCUUACUAGGGGGAAAAUUAGUCCUAAGGCAUAUACAAACACCAAAGCCAGGAUUAAAAAAUAGAUGACUCAUUAAUAGGAGCUCAUAGGUUUAACUAAGAGACUGGCUAAAGAUUAACAGAAGUAGAUAUCUGGUACAAUACUGCAUAAUAAUUUCUCAGAUAAUUUUACUUCCCCAGGCUGCCUUGGCUUCAAAACAUUAACAAGUUCACUACCUUAACCUAACCUUGCCAAGCCGAAGUAUUUAAAUCCUACUUGGCAAAGUACUUGACAAGCCAAAGCACUUGCCAUGCCAAAGUACUUAAAUCCUACUUUUCUUCUAAGUUAAUAAUCAAUUCAGAAAGAAGAAUAACUGAAAAACCAAAGUGGAUAGCCAUGUUUGGCACAACUAAAUCUGUAAUUAGUUGGAAAAAAAAUAUUACACUUACUCAUACCACUGUUUAUUGUGUUUUCGGUAAAGCAACGUAUCCAAGGCAACAGCAUUGACAUCCAGAGCUCCUGGGGAAGGCCACUGGUUGGUGAGAGAUAUUACUAGAAGACUAAAGGAUGCAAACUGCAUUUUACAUCUUAACUAAAAAACAAUAGUGAUAUCUUAAAGCAACAGGUUAUCAGAUGCCAGUUAAAAUAUGAAGGAAAAUAAAGAUCCCAUGUGUAUGAUUUUCUAGCUUCAAAAUUCACAAUCUAUGUUACAAAGCUCUAUUUUUAAAUCAACCUUUAGUAAUGCUUUUCCUGGACUACUACUCCUGUGCUACUUUCGUAAUGUGUAUAUACCUUUAUUACCAUACAAAUAUGCAUGUCCCGAUACACUCAUCACAUCACUUAGAUGUCA